AUCCACAGUUAGAGUCACUAAGAUCCACAGUUAGAGUCACUAAGAUCCACAGUUAGAGUCACUAAGAUCCACAGUCAUACUCGCUAAGAUCCAGACCUCUGUGUGGAGCCUCAUCAUCGUGUUGAUCCACCAGUUUGUCCGUUAACUCUUUUCUUAUACCCUUCCAAGUAGUAAAACAGUCUCCAGGCAUGCAAUGUCUUGGUGUGCUUGCUGCAUGACGCAUCCCGGGUUGAUCGCCAGGGAAUGCAUUUGCACCUCUGACUGACGCCAAGACUAGGAGCCAUGUCGAUGACGUGGGCCUCGUUUUGUCUUCAUUACAGGCUAGUAUAUACAGAGGGGGAUACAGCCGUUUUGCGCCAUACUAAGCGAGAACGUGAGAAAAAAAAAUACAAAAAAUACAAAAACCUUUCGGUGGGGACACAAAGACAAGCUUUCCGAGGCCUGGGUAUUGCAAUACAUGCAGUUGUGCAUCAUUUUAGCAUCUCUAAAGAGAGAGGAAAACCAGAUAUUUUUCAUCUUAUACCUCAGAUAUUUUGUUCUGUGUAUUUUAAUAUUGUGCAUCUUAAUUUUUAAAAGGUUACAUAGAUUGUUGGCUGUAGAGGUUUCUGUGGUGAUCUAGAAAGCUGCUAGAUAUUAAAAAAGAAAAAUCUAAAUCCAAUUGUUAGGGCCACAAUCAAGUGUGCUUUAUCAUGUAAAUUAAUUAUGUAUAAUAAAUAUUAAGUCGUUCAGAAUUAUCACAUUUUGUAUAAGUGUAAGUGACUACAAUGGUCAUGUUGAUUUUUAUUUUUAUUGUAAUUUUUUUUUAUUUUUUUUUAUUUUUUUUACAUUAUCUCUGUUUCUGAGUUGAUAAUAUACUGUUUGUUUACGGAUGGUCAGAGGGAUAAGAAGUGGUAUGGGGAUGGAUGUAAAAGCCUGAAAAUCUGAUUGGUUGGUGGGCAAGGAGGGUAGCUCUGAGUGGCGGCUUGUAGGUCCAAUGGGAGUGCAGCUGCGAGAGGAAGACACCACUGUAUCAGUUUUAUUAGUUGUAUUGUUUUACUCAUCACUCAAAGCCAAAGGUUACGUUCCUGGGGUGUUACACUUGUACAUUCAGAUUUUUGCAUAGAAACUGUCUAAGGAAACCCCUAAAGAUAUUCAGCAAGACAGUAUUUUACUGUUCAACCUAGUUCUUUAGUCAAAUCCUCACUAGUUUAGGCCGUUUAAAAAGUAUUCUUUUUAUAUUGCUUCCAGUAUAUAAAUUGAUAUUAUUGCUGACUUUUAUAUUAUGGGAAAGAAAAAAAGAUAACAAAACCACUGUUUCUAUUUUUUCUUUUUGUUUUUCAGAAGGAAAGUAAAAAAAACUAGAAUUAUUUGUACCAGGUUUAAAAAAAAAAGAAAAAAAUACAACUAUGUAUACAAUUUGAAGUGUGCAGUGGAUAUGUUCUGUUAUAUAAAAAUACACAACAGUAUGAUGUUUUAGAAUUAGUCUAGUAGAACAGUUGUUAGAGUAAGGUGUAUCAUUUUUUAUGGAAUUAAAUGAUAAUCAUAUUCAGAUUUCUAUAAACAUUUUACAGGUAAUCCAAUCAUGUAUGUAGAGAUAAUCAUGGUAUUUUUGUCAGCUUGGUAUUUUUAGACCUUACUGUGUUGCACACACACACAAACUGCAGUUAUUUUUGGUUUUUGUUUUUUUGUUUUGUUUUUUUGCUUGUGGAAUAUUACAUUGGACUUUUUGUUACUGUGCUUUUCCUAAUUUUCUUUAGAUAUUAUUUCAAUGCCAUAUUUUUUUUGUAUUUUUUAAAGCCUUUACAUUUUGAAACAGUCUGAUUAUCAAGAAAUGUAUAACUAAUGACAAAAAAAAAAAUGAGCAUAUAAAUAUUAAGAAUGG